rnacentral:lncRNA from 1 species
GUGCUACAAGCGGUAAGAGUAAGGCUAAUGGUAACGCCUCCAGGAGGCCCAAAGAGAAAGAUGAACAGUAGCAGCAAUCCUGAAACAAUGAGACCAAAAAAACAGCGGCGCAACUCUGCGCGCACGACACACGAACUGGCGAUCUGGCAAGAGUUAUUCAAGAUGUCCACGGAUCGGUGUAUACUUCUGCUGCGCUUGGUGUGGCUCUUACAGGUACUUGAAGAUCAGGCCACCGUGGGUAGCGAAGAAGGGGGCGAACACAAGGGACUCCACGGCCAUGAGCUUGAUGAGGAUGUUGAGGGAUGGGCCAGAGGUGUCCUUCAGGGGGUCACCGAUGGUGUCGCCGAUAACGGCAGCCUUGUGGCAGUCUGAUCCCUUGGGGCCCAGGGUCCUUGCGUGCUCGCUGGCACCAGCCUGAAACAAACAAGGUAAAGUUGAGGACAAAGUUAAUCACUGACCAUAGAUACUGACUCGUAUUAUCCAGGACUUUUUCAGAGCCCUUACCUCAAUGUACUUCUUGGCAUUGUCCCAUGCACCACCAGUGUUGGAAGCAGAGAUGGCAAUCUGCCAAGAUUUCAAACGUCAUAAACCAUUCAACCAGUUAACACACAAAAGUAAAUACACAGAGCAACAGGAAGUGAUACGCACCUGCACUCCAGAAACCAGGGCACCAGCAAGAACACCAGAGAGGGUCUCCACACCAAAGAGGGUUCCAACAAUGAGGGGAGUGAGCAUGACCAGAGCACCUGGGGGGAUCAUCUCCUUGAUGGAAGCAUCGGUAGAGAUCUUGACACAGGUAGCGUAGUCAGGCUUGCCAGUUCCCUCCAUCAGACCAGGAAUGGUGUUGAACUGCCUGCGGACCUCCUCAACCAUCUUCAGAGCAGCACUUCCAACACUCUUCAUGGUCAUGGCAGAGAACCAGUAUGGAAGCAUGGCUCCGACAAUCAAGCCAAUGAAGACCUUGGGGGACAGGACAUCGACAACCUUCACUCCAGCUCUGCUGACAAAGGCACCAAAAAGGGCCAGGGACACAAGAGCAGCUGAUCCAAUGGCAAAUCCCUGCAAGAGGAUACAAAUGAAAUAAGUUCAACAAUUUCCUUGUUAAACAUCUAAUAGAAUCGAAUCGACUUGAGCCAACACAGAAUACAACUUUACCUUUCCAAUAGCAGCAGUGGUGUUGCCAGCUGCAUCAAGAGCAUCAGUUCUCUCACGGAUUCUGUGGCUCAUUCCAGCCAUCUCAGCAAUGCCACCAGCAUUAUCACUAAUGGGACCAUAAGCAUCAAUAGCAAGGCCAGUUGCGAUUGUGCUUAGCAUACCAAGGGCGGCAACUGCUAUGCCGUACAUUGCAGCAAUAGAGAAACUGACAUAGAUGCUGACAGCAAUGGCGAAAAUUGGGAUGAUAACUGACUUGUAUCCUAGAGCCAGACCGAAAAUCACAUUGGUGGCAGCACCAGUUCUGCAGGAAUCCGCAACAUCUUGCACAGGACUGCCAUAUAGGGAAAAAAAAUCAUGUUAGGGUUAAAACAGUAUCACAUAAAUGAUCAAGAAACACUAAUUAUUGAUUAGUAAGACCUAAUUAUAGACCGAUAGGAUUCUUACCUGUAUGCAUUGCUGGUGUAGUAUUCUGUGACAAAACCAAUAAUAAGACCAGCCCACAGACCAAUUGAAACACAGAAGAACAAGCCCCUACAAACACAUGACACUUCAGUCAGAAGAGAGUACAUUCCGCACACAAACAGCAAAGGUUGAUAAUAACAUACCAGUUGGAUACUUCCUUCUGAGCACCAAAGUUGAAGAUGGUGAACUUGGCUGGAAGGGCCAACCAGCUGAUUAUCGCAAUACCAACAGUCAUCAGAGCAGUGGAGAUGAUGAGCUGCUUCUUAAGUGCAGGUUCGAUUUCUUUCACAGCCUUGAUCUCAAAGAAGUCAGUGGCAAAGAGUGUGGUGAGCAAGCAGACUAUGAUGCCAACAGAGCUCACAAGCAGUGGGUAGCACAUCCCAGUAAAAUCAUGGUUGAUUCCAAAAGAUGAAAUAGAUGCAACAACAAGGGCAGCACAGGAAGAUUCUGCGUAUGACCCAAAGAGAUCAGACCCCAUUCCAGCAAUGUCACCAACAUUGUCACCAACAUUAUCAGCGAUCACCUGCAAAACAAGAUUUACAAGUUCAGAAAUGACAAUACCAAGUGUCAUAUGGCCCUCCUGUAAGUGACAGGAUUGCCUGUAAAUUAAUAUUGUAAGCCCAAAGCAGAGAUAAGAAAACUCACAGCUGGGUUCCUAGGAUCAUCCUCGGGGAUGUUCCUUUCAACUUUGCCAACAAGAUCAGCACCCACAUCAGCAGCCUUUGUGUAGAUACCUCCACCAACUCUUCCAAAGAGAGCCAUGGAAGACCCACCAAGGCCAUACCCAGUGAUAGACUCGAAAAGACCCUCCCAGUCAUCACCAUAGUACAACUUAAAUACGUUAAUGGUGAUGUAGAGAACCACAAGACCGCUUGAUGCAAGCAAAAAGCCCAUGACGGCACCAGAGCGGAAAGCGACAAUAAAUGCCUUCCCGACACCCUUCCUGGCUUCCAGGGUGGUUCUGGCAUUGGCAUAUGUGGCAAUCUUCAUUCCAAGGAAACCAGAGACCAAAGAGGUGAUAGCUCCAAGCAAGAAGGAUGCAGUGCUGAAGAGUGCAGUGAAGAGAGCGGGCUUGCAGUACUUUCCCUUGCUAUAGGUGCAGGGCUGGCUCUUUGUGCUGAAUC